CGAAACUUCAAAUAAUAAGUCAGCUGGUCUCAUAUUUUUAAAGUAGAUAAACACAAAAUAUUAUGAAAGAAGUUAAUAUAGGAAACGAUACUACGCUGGCCGCAGUGACGUCAAGCGAGAGUGAAAUGCUUUGAUGAAAUUGUUUGUAUUUUGCUAUUCGUAGUGCUUAAAAGCAAAACAGAGAGAGAGAGAGAGGGAGAGCUUUUAUACAGUCGCGGAGUUGGCUUCAAACGAGUAGUAAGUCAGCUGCGCCUGAUAUUCAAAAUAAAUAAAAAACACAAGCAAUUAUGGAAGAAGUUAAUACAGAAAUAGAGACAACACUGGCCGCAGUCACGUCGAAAGCAAAGGUAUUGGCAAUUGGAGAUGGUGAGAGAUGUGACAAGUCCAAAAAUAAUGCGGUAAAAGACAAUGACACGAAGAACUUUAUGGCUGACUGCUUAAAUCAUGUUAGUCGACUUUUAUUGAGUGGUCUAACUCCUAUAGAAGCUCGACGUGAUUGGCCCUGGGAGGUCUUGGAGAUUAAGUUUAUUAGGGAAGAUAACCAGUUGAAACGCUGUCAUUUUCAUUGCUAUCGCUCACGAAAAUAUUUGCAUGAUUAUUGUACUGACCUAAAGCAUGUCUGCAUAUACAAUGCAGAGCUCGGACUGCAUGAAAUAAGGAAACGAUUGAAGAGCGAAAAUUGGAUAUCAAGAUACGUGUUGGAACUGCCACUCAAAACAAAGCUUGAUCCUGAAAUAUAUGGGACCGGUGAAACUGCCAUUUGGGGUGUAUGUAAUUCUGUUGUUUCUGAUAAUCGAAACGAUGUGUUUCGUUUCCUGCAUUUUUUACACAAGCAAUAUGUUGAAGAAAAGGCGAAAAAAUAAAUUUCUUGUGAGCAGUUUUAAAA